AGGCAUUGAAACCGGAUGACAAAGGACUAUUUCAAGCUUCAUGAGGUCUCAUAGCCCUCUAGCUACCUCGAUCAUAUAUAUAUCACAACCUCCUUAGAAAUUCCACGCUUAUAGUCUGGAUACUUGAGCACAACGUCUCCGAAGCAAGAAAUGCUGAUUCAAUCUAUCACUCUCUUGAAAUAAACAACACGGACGAGCUGCUGGAGGAAUCCUGACAUGGCUUCAGAAAUGUCUUCUCCCUCAUUUACGCGUUGACAAGCGGGAGAUUCCAUGUAGGUAGAUUGAAAUACUACCUCUAAAAAAUCCAGGGGCCAUGGAAGAGCAUUUGAGGGUAGAGCAUCGAUUUUGAUC
rnacentral:sRNA from 1 species